GACGAACGCUGGCGGCGUGCUUAACACAUGCAAGUCGAACAGAAAGGCCCUGCUUGCAGGGUACUCGAGUGGCGAACGGGUGAGUAACACGUGGGUGAUCUGCCCUGCACUUCGGGAUAAGCCUGGGAAACUGGGUCUAAUACCGGAUAGGAGCCAUUUUUAGUGUGAUGGUUGGAAAGUUUUUUCGGUGUUGGAUGAGCUCGCGGCCUAUCAGCUUGUUGGUGGGGUAAUGGCCUACCAAGGCGGCGACGGGUAGCCGGCCUGAGAGGGUGGACGGCCACAUUGGGACUGAGGUACGGCCCAGACUCCUACGGGAGGCAGCAGUGGGGAAUAUUGCACAAUGGGCGCAAGCCGGAUGCAGCGACGCCGCGUGGGGGAUGACGGCCUUAGGGUUGAAAACUCCUUUCGCUAGGGACGAAGCUUUUUGUGACGGUACCUAGAGAAGAAGCACCGGCUAACUACGUG
rnacentral:rRNA from 1 species